GCUUCCGUAGCUCAGCGGAUUAGAGCAUCCCACUUCUAAUGGGAGGGCCGCAAGUUCGAGUCUUGCCAGAAGUA
rnacentral:tRNA from 1 species